rnacentral:rRNA from 1 species
CCCUUAGAUGUUCUGGGCCGCACGCGCGCUACACUGAUGCAUUCAGCGAGUCCAUCCUUGCCCGAAAGGGCUGGGUAAUCUUUUGAAAUUGCAUCGUGAUGGGGCUUGCGGGUUGCAACUACCCGCACCAACGAGGAAUUCCUAGUAAACGCAAGUCAACAACUUGCAUUGAUUACGUCCCUGCCCUUUGUACACACCGCCCGUCGCUACUGCCGACUGAGAUGUGGGUCCCAAAGUGUUAGGAUUGCCCCGCUGCGAGGCCUACCCGGCCCCGAUUGCGGUCACGGCAAGAAGAUCAUUAAGUGGAAUGUCUUGUAGGGAGUAAAAGUCGUAACA